ACGAUGCGUAGCCGACCUGAGAGGGUGAUCGGCCACACUGGGACUGAGACACGGCCCAGACUCCUACGGGAGGCAGCAGUAGGGAAUCUUCCGCAAUGGACGACAGUCUGACGGAGCAACGCCGCGUGAGUGAUGAAGGUUUUCGGAUCGUAAAGCUCUGUUGUUAGGGAAGAACAAGUGCAAGAGUAACUGCUUGCACCUUGACGGUACCUAACCAGAAAGCCACGGCUAACUACGUGCCAGCAGCCGCGGUAAUACGUACGUGGCAAGCGUUGUCCGGAAUUAUUGGGCGUAAAGGGCUCGCAGGGCGUUUCUUAAGUCUGAUGUGAAAGCCCCCGGCUCAACCGGGGAGGGUCAUUGGAAACUGGGAAACUUGAUUGCAGAAGAGGAGAGUGGAAUUCCACGUGUAGCGGUGAAAUGCGUAGAGAUGUGGAGGAACACCAGUGGCGAAGGCGACUCUCUGGUCUGUAACUGACGCUGAGGAGCGAAAGCGUGGGGAGCGAACAGGAUUAGAUACCCUGGUAGUCCACGCCGUAAACGAUGAGUGUUAAGUGUUAGGGGGUUUCCGCCCCUUAAUGCUGCAGCUAACGCAUUAAGCACUCCGCCUGGGGAGUACGGUAACAAGACUGAAACUCAAAGGAAUUGACGGGGGCCCGCGGAAUCUAUGUGUGCUUGUGAUUUCAUAUCAACACCACCCGAAGAACCUCAACCGGUCCUUAUCAUCCACUACCAUCGCGAUAGGUAUUCCUUUCCCAGUCCGAGAGAGAUAAGUGAUAGGC
rnacentral:rRNA from 2 species